GCUUUUGGAAAUAGCUCAGUUGGUAGAGCAUGAGACUCUUAAUCUCAGGGUUGUGGGUUCGAGCCCCACAUUGGGCAAAAACA